UUUUAUUUUUAAUAUAAAUUACAAAUUUAGUUUACAAAUUUUACCGAUGAUAUUGUUGAUAGUAAAUUAUUAACUGUUUUAAAAAAGUGUUGUAUUUAAUUUUAUUGACAAUAAUCAUAAAUCAUAAUCAUUGGUACUAGAAUCCGUUCCUGGCUAGACAUUGAUUAAGUAAAAUUUAGAAACUUAUAUAAAGACCUUAGAAAUCAGUGUCCUAGAUACCUAUGGCUUUUUUUUUUUUUAUGAUGGUUUAUUUCAUUUUUGGAUAUUAAUCAAGAAAAUGAAUAGCAUUGUGAUCUUAGUUUAAAAACUGAUAAAAAUAAGAUAGAUUGAAAAAAAAACGCAAAAAUUUUAUUCCGGUACCGGGAAUCGAACCCGAGCCUCCUGGGUGAAAGCCAGGUAUCCUAGCCACUAGACCAUACCGGAGACAUAUAGAAUUGUUAUUAAUAAAAGCCACAUGAAUUCGACUAUGCGUUCGUGAAAAUGUCAAACUCAGUGGUAGUAGCUGUGCCAGGAUUGUGUAUUAAAUCGGAGGAGAUGGAGGCAAAAAUAAAUUAAUAGCAUUCAUAUGGCUGCUUCAUAUCAAAGGUUAUAUAAUUGAUAUGGUUAACUGCAUAACAUCUCAAUAUAGAACUGCAAACUGAAGUAUACUGUUGCCAUUAUAAGACAUGCAAUUUUAAUUAGUGGAAUCGUGGAAUUUUAUACCUGUAUAUAAUUGGAAUUGUGGAACUUUUAAAUAAUAUGACUGCAAGUGUAAGAUCACCCCAAGAAUUGGAUGUAUUGAAAGCUUAAAAAAUAAAGAACUUUUUAUUCCAAAUGGCACAUACAUCAUAACCAAUAUUGAUGAAGAUUUGAGAAAAAUAUAAUAGUCAAUUUAAUUUUAAACAAAACAAUGAUAUGACUACUGAAAAUUAAAAAAAGGGCAUGUCAAUUCAAUAUUGGUCAUUUCAGACUCCUAUUGCCAAAACCUCAGGCUGGAUAACAACAAUUCUACUGAUUUAAAAAUAUUGCAGUUCAUAAUUGUAAAUGUAUUUCUUUGAAAGUUUCACUCUAGCCAUUUUGUUUAUAUAACUUAUGAAUUACUUCUCAACAAUUUAAGUUUAACUUUGUAAAACUUAUUUAUUUAUCAGACAUGAUUAUAACAAUUAGUACUUACAAAUACAAAUGCAUUUGGAAAACAUCUUGUGAUAAUUAUAAUUAAUUCCUUAAAAUAAAUUUUAAAUUUUGAAAA